CAGGCUUCACAGCCUUUCC
rnacentral:snRNA from 1 species